rnacentral:rRNA from 1 species
UACAGAGGGUGCGAGCGUUAAUCGGAAUUACUGGGCGUAAAGCGCGCGUAGGCGGCUUUGCAAGUCGGGUGUGAAAUCCCCAGGCUUAACCUGGGAACUGCAUUCGAGACUGCAUUGCUAGAGUAUGGGAGAGGGAAGUGGAAUUUCCGGUGUAGCGGUGAAAUGCGUAGAUAUCGGAAGGAACAUCAGUGGCGAAAGCGGCCCCCUGGUUGGAUACUGACGCUGAGACGCGAAAGCGUGGGGAGCAAACAGG